rnacentral:rRNA from 1 species
GUGUCAGCCGCCGCGGUAAUACGUAGGGGGCGAGCGUUGUCCGAAUUUACUGGGCGUAAAGCGCGUGUAGGCGGCUCUUUAAGUCAGUUGUGAAAUCUUGCGGCUCAACCGCAAAACUGCAUUUGAAACUGGAGGGCUUGAGUAUGGGAGAGGAGAGUGGAAUUCCUGGUGUAGCGGUGAAAUGCGUAGAUAUCAGGAGGAACACCCGUGGCGAAGGCGGCUCUCUGGCCCAUCACUGACGCUGAGACGCGAAAGCUAGGGGAGCGAACGGGAUUAGAUACCCCGGUAGUCCUAGCCGUAAACGAUGGACACUAGGUGUUAGUGGUAUCGACCCCACUAGUGCCGUAGCUAACGCAUUAAGUGUCCCGCCUGGGGAGUACGGCCGCAAGGUUGAAACUUAAAUGAAUUGGCGGGG